rfam:Treponema sp. JC4 contig00051, whole genome shotgun sequence.
GGGGGUGCACCGGUUUCGACGGAAUCGAGAAAUCUUGUGUUGCAAGUAGGAGUGAAGGUUCCUUAAACUGACAAAAAAAUAACUGCAAAACGUAAAGAAGAAGAUUCUAACGAAGAACAGUUCGCAAUGGCAGCUUAGUUUGCCUUGCAGGACCCCGGCGGCUCUGUUCCGCGUUGCCGGCCCGUCUUUUACCCAUCGGGACUUGCUUCUUAAAGUUUCUGGUAUUUAGGAAGGACAUUUAAUCAGAAUACGGAGGCGACGCUUGUUAUGCUGCUACCGGCUCCCGACAACCACUUCGCAUAACUAAACUUGUAGAGGCACCUGGUUUACCUUUUCGGACGGGGGUUCAAUUCCCCCCAUCUCCACUA